GAUGAACAAAAAUAAUGGAAAAGGGCACCAACAUUAUCCCCUCUCACAAGAAUAAUUAUAUGCAAUGCAGUAAGCACUAAUAAAUUUAAAGGUUUAGCUUUGAAACAAUUCCACAUGUAGCACACAUGGGUUUUCUUGCAAAAAUAACUUGUUUUCUAAUGCUGUACAACAUGUGGGGAACAUUAUAAUAAAAACACCUACAGCCAGGGUCUUGCUAAGGUGUCAAAUAUUUAAAUGUUUCUAAAUGAAACGCUAAGUUUACUGACACUAGCGAGAAAGUGAUGCAUGCAUCUCCU
rnacentral:misc_RNA from 1 species